rnacentral:rRNA from 1 species
GCGAUUAUACCAGCACUAAUGCACCGGAUCCAAUCAGAACUCCGCAGUUAAACGUGCUUGGGCGAGAGUAGUACUAGGAUGGGCGACCUCCUGGGAAGUCCACGUGUUGGGCCU